AUGCCGCAGCACAAAGGGAAUGGAAAUGGAAACUGAGCCUCACUUUCCUACCUGACUAUCGCUCGUCAACCCCUGUUCCAAAAGGAGUUCUUCCAACUUCCUUGAAUUGCAUAACACCGUGUUUUCCAUCAUCCAAGUCUUGCAAAAUUGCUUUAAAAUGUCGUGUGGUUUUACAUGUAUUUUGACGAGAAAAGCAUGUCCAAUCUUCUGUGAUUUGCUUUCAGAAUUUUAGCACAUGCAACUAAGAUGGAAAGAAAAGGGAGCUCUUCUCCGGAAACUGGAUCCACAAGCCAUGGCUCAUCAGGAGCUGAGUUCGAUGUGUUCUUGAGUUUUCGAGGAUUGGAUACUCGCGCUCACUUCACAAAUUCCCUCUAUCAUGCCUUGCUAGAUAAGGGUAUCCGUGUUUGCGUAGAUGGGAAAGGGAAUUGACGUCGGUGAGGAGAUUGGCCCAGAUAAUUUCCAGGCCACCGAUGACUCGAAAAUCUGCAUACCCAUCUUCUCUAGAGGCUAUGCCUCCACUAGCUGGUGCUUACAUGAGCUGGAACACAUGAUGGAGUGUAGGAAAAUUGAUGAACUAGACGUUAUACUUAUAUUUUGUGUUGUUGAUCCUUUCGAUGUGAAGCUUGAAAGUGAAGUACAUAGGGAUGCAUUAACUCUGUAUGAAGAAAAAUGUGGGGUGGAUAUUGUGCAGGGCUUGGCAGAGGCGCUCAAGGAAGUUACUGCAAUCAAGCAAUGCGACACCAAGAACACGGGUAUGUUAAAUCAUUCAACUCCAUUUUCCCUUUUCUCUCUGUUGCUUUUGCUUGAAUGCGGAUUAUAAUUCGAAGAGCACAGCUUUUUAUGUGUUCUGGACCAAAAAUUGUGAUGGAACAUCGCAUGGAAUUCUCACCUUAUCUACAUAAGCAUUAUAGUCCAUUUUUUAGAUUGAAAAGAACCAAAUAACCAUGCAUUCAUUCUUUUGUUCACUCAGCAUCUAUUUUGUAACCUCAUGUUAUUGUUUGAUCUUGCAUGUAUACAAGUUUGCCACCAAUCUUAUAAUUAACUUGAUUAUGUUGUGUCUUGACACAGCCAUGGAGAACUCGUAUGGUUGAUUGCUUGGAAUGUGUUGGUUAAGCUUAAGGUGUGUUAGGUUCAUAUAUCUGAUCACGUAGUUGGAAUGAACGAGCCAGUGGACGAAGUAGUAGAUUUGCUAAAUGCCAAAUCUGAGGACAUAAGGCUCAUGAGAAUUUGCGGAAUAGGUGGAAUAGGCAAGACAACUCUUGCCAAGGUUAUUUACCACAAACUUUUUACUAAUUUUAUAAGUUGCAGUUUCAUUUCAAAUAUUCGACAACCAUCAAAAGGUUCUGUUGUGUCCAAUUUGCAAAGGCAACUAGUCUCUAAUAUACUUGGCAACGUAGGAGUUGAACUUUCUAGCAUCUAUCAUGGGAUAAAUAUGAUCAAAGGUAGAUUCAAGAUAGAAAAAGUUCUUAUUGUCCUUGAUGAUGUAUAUCAUAGGAGCCAACUUAUGGCAUUAGUAGCAAAGACAAAAUGGUUUGGUUUGGGAAGUAGAAUUGUUGUUACAACAAGAGACAAAAGUGUUUUAAGUGGAUUCCGAGAUCGAUUUGACCACUGUUUAAUUUUUGAAGCUAGGGGUUCAAGGAUCUUGAAGCUCUUGAACUCUUUAGAAUGCAUGAUUUAGAAGCUACUCUCCUCCAAAUGCAUUUUUAAGUCUAUCUAAAAAAGUUACUCCAAAAAUCGGAGAGCUUCAUUUGGCUAUUGAAGUGAUGGGCUCAUUAUUAUAUAGGAAAAAGAAAGCAGUGUGGCAAGAUACAUUGAAAAAAAUGGAACAUUACCCUCAUAAGGAUGUAAGGAAAAAUUGAUUUUGAGUUAUGAGGCAAUAAAUCAUCAGCAACGACAGAUAUUUCUUGAUAUUGCUUGCUUUCUAGCUGGAGAAAAUAAGAGUUAUGCAGAUUACAUGUGGGAUGACUAUCAAUUUUUUUUCCGGAUGAGGGGAUUGAAGUUCUACUUUUGAUGCCUUAGUGAAAAUUGUAGAAAACAAUCAACUAUGAAUGCAUGAUCAGCUCAAAGACUUGGGCAAGAGCAGUGUGUACCAAGAAAAUUGUAAAGAUCCAGGAAAAUGUUCAUGGGUGUGGAACCAUGAAGAAGCUCUUGAUAUGAUCAAGAGAAAGAAGGUUUAUACCAGCCACUGUUUUGACAUCAGAUGAAUUUAUGAAGAUGCCAAAUGUUAGAUUUCUUAAAAUGAAAAAAAUACUUAUCCUCGACCUAUCGAGGAGCUGAAUGGACGAACUUUGGGGUGAUUGGACUCAUCUUAAGUUGCUCUUCACUGUGGCUAGUGGCCGCCCAACACGACGUCGCGACCAGUCGGAGAUUGCACCGCCUCUGCUGCCGCCACCACCACCCCUGUGAGCGUCUCUCUCUCUUCCCCCCAUUCCCCUCUCUAUCUCUCCCAAGAACCUGUCAAGAUCGAGCCGGUGACAACGAGGCCAGAUCUGGCUCUAUAGCUAGCGGCCUGUCAUCGUUGAUGGAGCGCCAUUUUUGUCCGGGUAGAGAGAGAUGGCGACUGUGCUCGAGCGUCGGUGACUGUGGCGGCAAGGCAGGGUUGUGGCAGCAGCGGCAGCGUCGAGGUUUUGUCGCGUGGCGAAGACACAGCUAAGGGAGAGGAGAAAAGAGAGGAACAAAGGAAUAUGGAUUACAUUUUAUGUGUGUGCUAUUAUAUCCCCAGGAAUCUUCGAUAACCAAUAGAAAUAUGCCGCGCGUCCAGGCUGUUGCGCCAACGCUGCACCCGGCGGUGGCAGAAUCCGUCCCUUCACAAAAAUUGGAAAAUGUAAUUUGGCAAUUGGCGUUUUGUUACGUUUGUUUGACAUGUGAUGCCAAGAAAACGGUAAAAUUCU